rnacentral:rRNA from 1 species
AUUGAACGCUGGCGGCAGGCUUAACACAUGCAAGUCGAACGAGUGGCGGACGGGUGAGUAAUGUCUGGGAAACUGCCUGAUGGAGGGGGAUAACUACUGGAAACGGUAGCUUAUACCGCAUACCAUCAGAUGUGCCCAGCUGGGAUUAGCUAGUAGGUGGGGUAAUGGCUCACCUAGGCAACGAUCCCUAGCUGGUCUGAGAGGAUGACCGGCCACACGGGAACUGAGACACGGGCCAGACUCCUACGGGAGGCAGCAGUGGGGAAUAUUGCACAAUGGGCGCAAGCCGGAUGCGGCCAUGCCGCUUGUGUGAAGAAGGCCUUCGGGUUGUAAAGCACUUUCAGCGAGGAGGCGUUACUCGCAGAAGAAGCACCGGCUAACUCCGUGCCAGCAGCCGCGGUAAUAC